UGAGGAAUAUUGGUCAAUGGGCGAGAGCCUGAACCAGCCAAGUAGCGUGCGGGAUGAAGGCCCUUGUGGUCGUAAACCGCUUUUAUCAGUGAAUAAAGUGCACCACGUGUGGUGUCACUGCAGGUAGCUGAAGAAAAAGGACCGGCUAAUUCCGUGCCAGCAGCCGCGGUAAUACGGAAGGUCCGGGCGUUAUCCGGAAUUAUUGGGUUUAAAGGGAGCGCAGGCGGGAGUAUAAGUCAGCUGUUAAAUAUCAGAGCCCAACUCUGUUAUGCAGUUGAAACUAUAUUUCUUGAGUACGCACAGGGAUGGCGGAAUUCAGGGUGUAGCGGUGAAAUGCUUAGAUAUCCUGAAGAACUCCGAUCGCGAAGGCAGCCAUCCGGAGCGUAACUGACGCUGAGGCUCGAAGGUGCGGGUAUCGAACAGGAUUAGAUACCCUGGUAGUCCGCACGGUAAACGAUGAAUACUCGCAGUUCGGUCUUUAUGAUCGAGUUGUCCAGCGAAAGCGUUAAGUAUUCCACCUGGGGAGUACGCCGGCAACGGUG
rnacentral:rRNA from 1 species